rnacentral:misc_RNA from 1 species
GAUGAAGAACGUAGUGAAAUGCGAUAAGUAAUGUGAAUUGCAGAAUUCAGUGAAUCAUCGAGUCUUUGAACGCACAUUGCGCCCCCUGGUAUUCCGGGGGGCAUGCCUGUCCGAGCGUCAUUGCUGCCCUCAAGCACGGCUUGUGUGUUGGGCUUCCGUCCCUGGCAACGGGGACGGGCCCAAAAGGCAGUGGCGGCACCAUGUCUGGUCCUCGAGCGUAUGGGGCUUUGUCACCCGCUCCCGUAGGUCCAGCUGGCAGCUAGCCUCGCAACCAAUCUUUUUAACCAGGUUGACCUCGGAUCAGGUAGGGAUACCCGCUGAACUUAAGCAUAUCAAUAAGCGGAGGA